UACGUAGGGUGCAAGCGUUAAUCGGAAUUACUGGGCGUAAAGCGUGCGCAGGCGGUUAUUUAAGCCAGGGGUGAAAUCCCCGGGCUUAACCUGGGAACUGCAUUUGUGACUGCAUAGCUAGAGUACGGUAGAGGGGGAUGGAAUUCCGCGUGUAGCAGUGAAAUGCGUAGAUAUGCGGAGGAACACCGAUGGCGAAGGCAAUCCCCUGGACCUGUACUGACGCUCAUGCACGAAAGCGUGGGGAGCAAACAGG
rnacentral:rRNA from 1 species